GAUGAACGCUGGCGGUGUGCCUAAUACAUGCAAGUCGAGCGAACAGACGAGGAGCUUACUCCUCUGACGUUAGCGGCGGACGGGUGAGUAACACGUGGAUAACCUACCUAUAAGACUGGGAUAACUUCGGGAAACCGGAGCUAAUACCGGAUAACAUGUUGAACCGCAUGGUUCAACAGUGAAAGACGGUCUUGCUGUCACUUAUAGAUGGAUCCGCGUCGCAUUAGCUAGUUGGUAAGGUAACGGCUUACCAAGGCAACGAUGCGUAGCCGACCUGAGAGGGUGAUCGGCCACACUAGAACUGAGACACGGUCCAGACUCCUACGGGAGGCAGCAGUAGGGAAUCUUCCGCAAUGGGCGAAAGCCUGACGGAGCAACGCCGCGUGAGUGAAGAAGGUCUUCGGAUCGUAAAACUCUGUUAUUAGGGAAGAACAAAUGUGUAAGUAACUAUGCACGUCUUGACGGUACCUAAUCAGAAAGCCACGGCUAACUACGUG
rnacentral:rRNA from 1 species